rnacentral:rRNA from 1 species
CUACGGGAGGCUGCAGUGGGGAAUAUUGCACAAUGGGCGCAAGCCUGAUGCAGCCAUGCCGCGUGUAUGAAGAAGGCCUUCGGGUUGUAAAGUACUUUCAGUAAGGAGGAAGGCAGUUGCGUUAAUAGCGUAAUUGUUUGACGUUACUUACAGAAGAAGCACCGGCUAACUCCGUGCCAGCAGCCGCGGUAAUACGGAGGGUGCGAGCGUUAAUCGGAAUUACUGGGCGUAAAGCGCAUGCAGGUGGUUUGUUAAGUCAGAUGUGAAAGCCCUGGGCUCAACCCGGGAAUUGCAUUUGAAACUGGCAAGCUAGAGUACUGUAGAGGGGGGUAGAAUUUCAGGUGUAGCGGUGAAAUGCGUAGAGAUCUGAAGGAAUACCGGUGGCGAAGGCGGCCCCCUGGACAGAUACUGACACUCAGAUGCGAAAGCGUGGGGAGCAAACAGGAUUAGAUACCCCUGUAGUC